rnacentral:rRNA from 1 species
UACGGGGGGGGGCAAGCGUUGUUCGGAAUUACUGGGCGUAAAGGGCGCGUAGGUGGCCAACUAAGUCAGACGUGAAAUCCCCAGGCUCAACUUGGGAACUGCGUCUGAUACUGGAUGGCUUGAAUUCGGGAGAGGGAUGCAGGAAUUCCAGGUGUAGCGGUGAAAUGCGUAGAUAUCUGGAGGAAUACCGGUGGCGAAGGCGGCAUCCUGGACCGAGAUUGACACUGAUGAGCGAAAGCUAGGGGAGCAAACGGG